CAGCCGCCGCGGUAAUACGAAGGGUGCAAGCGUUAAUCGGAAUUACUGGGCGUAAAGCGUGCGUAGGCGGUGAGUUAAGUCUGCUGUGAAAUCCCCGGGCUCAACCUGGGAAUGGCAGUGGACACUGGCUCGCUAGAGUGUGUCAGAGGAUGGUGGAAUUCCCGGUGUAGCGGUGAAAUGCGUAGAGAUCGGGAGGAACAUCAGUGGCGAAGGCGGCCAUCUGGGACAACACUGACGCUGAGGCACGAAAGCGUGGGGAGCAAACAGGAUUAGAUACCCCCGUAGUCCCUGUCUCUUAUAC
rnacentral:rRNA from 1 species